rnacentral:rRNA from 1 species
CGCAGCCGCGGUAAUUCCAGCUCCAAUAGCGUAUAUUAAAGUUGUUGCAGUUAAAAAGCUCGUAGUUGAAUUUCGGGGUCAGCAGGUUGGUCGUGCCAAUGGUAUGCACUGGCCUUGGUGAUUCCUCCCUCUUGUAGAACCGUAAUGCCAUUAAGUUGGUGUUGCGGGGAAACAGGACUGUUACUUUGAAAAAAUUAGAGUGUUUAAAGCAGGCUAACGCCUGAAUACAUUAGCAUGGAAUAAUGAAAUAGGACGAUCGAUCCUAUUUUGUUGGUUUCUAGGAUUGACGUAAUGAUUAAUAGGGAUAGUUGGGGGCAUUAGUAUUCAAUUGUCAGAGGUGAAAUUCUUGGAUUUAUUGAAGACUAACUACUGCGAAAGCAUUUGCCAAGGAUGUUUUCAUUAAUCAAGAACGAAAGUUAGGGGAUCGAAGACGAUCAGAUACCGUCGU